GCGAGGAAGGUGGGGAGUGACGUCAAGUCCUCAUGGCCCUUACAGGCUGGGCUACACACGUGCUACAAUGGCAUCUACAGUGGGCAGCUAUUCCGCAAGGAUGCGCUAAUCUCCAAAAGAUGUCUCAGUUCGGAUUGUCCUCUGCAACUCGAGGGCAUGAAGGCGGAAUCGCUAGUAAUCGCGGAUCAGCAUGCCGCGGUGAAUACGUUCCCAGGCCUU
rnacentral:rRNA from 1 species